ACUCCUACGGGAGGCAGCAGUGGGGAAUAUUGGACAAUGGGCGAAAGCCUGAUCCAGCCAUGCCGCGUGUGUGAAGAAGGUCUUCGGAUUGUAAAGCACUUUAAGUUGGGAGGAAGGGCAGUAAGUUAAUACCUUGCUGUUUGACGUACCAAC
rnacentral:rRNA from 1 species